GGUAAGGUGGCCGAAGCAGGUGCCGAGUUGUAGCCUCGGUUAUAAAGGUCAACCCCUUUUCUUACCA
rnacentral:tRNA from 1 species